GACUUUUUCACCUUGUGUAGACGAAAUCAAAGACUGCCAUUUAUAUUUUAAAUACAUAUUUCUUAGAAUACAAAAUUUCUCUUGAAUGAACUUGGAUGUACAAAUAUUGGUUAAUUGGGAAUAGUUAGUCGCAAAGCAAAAUUACAAAAACUGAUACAUAUAUCGAAACGAGCAAAUGAGAGCACUCGAAAUUAGCAAUGUUUGCUGAAAAAAAUCCAACAUAUAUUUUUUAAAGCAAUCUGUUGUUGGUUGUUGAUGGUUUGAAUUGCUAGAUGAAUUGUAGUACGUACACAACUGCUACGGCAAAGAAAACAAAUAAAUGUUUUAAUUAUUACAGAAUUAUUGAAUCUAACGAAGAGAGUAAGAAAUAGAAGAAAUCAAUUAAUAUUGAAUGUAUAAUUAGUAUAUCAAUAAAUCAUUAAUUAAUAAA